rnacentral:rRNA from 1 species
GAGUUUGAUCGUGGCUCAGAUUGAACGCUGGCGGCAUGCCUUACACAUGCAAGUCGAACGGCAGCAUGAUCUAGCUUGCUAGAUUGAUGGCGAGUGGCGAACGGGUGAGUAAUACAUCGGAACGUGCCCUGUAGUGGGGGAUAGCUAGUCGAAAGAUUAGCUAAUACCGCAUACGACCUGAGGGUGAAAGUGGGGGACCGCAAGGCCUCAUGCUAUAGGAGCGGCCGAUGUCUGAUUAGCUAGUUGGUGGGGUAAAGGCCCACCAAGGCGACGAUCAGUAGCUGGUCUGAGAGGACGAUCAGCCACACUGGGACUGAGACACGGCCCAGACUCCUACGGGAGGCAGCAGUGGGGAAUUUUGGACAAUUGGCGAAAGCCUGAUCCAGCAAUGCCGCGUGUGUGAAGAAGGCCU